UACGUAGGGUGCGAGCGUUGUCCGGAUUUAUUGGGCGUAAAGAGCUCGUAGGCGGUCUGUCGCGUCGAUCGUGAAAACUUGGGGCUUAACCCUGAGCUUGCGGUCGAUACGGGCAUGACUGGAGUUCGGCAGGGGAGACUGGAAUUCCUGGUGUAGCGGUGGAAUGCGCAGAUAUCAGGAGGAACACCGGUGGCGAAGGCGGGUCUCUGGGCAGUAACUGACGCUGAGGAGCGAAAGCGUGGGGAGCGAACAGG
rnacentral:rRNA from 1 species